CAAAAUACACAUACACGAAAUCCCCACAAAAGUCACAUCCCCAGAAAGCCCCGAUCUGGGUGACUAACAUAUCCAAAAAUCACCCAGAUCGGUUCACGGGUUCGGGUUUUCCAUGGAAGUCCCGUUUUUGACCGACCGCACAUGUGGCUUAAACCCAAAAUAGUUCCAUGAAAUCAGUGCUAGUGGUCGGUCAACUUCGGUAACAAAAAAAAUGAAAGAAUUACUAAAUGUAGUCUAUAUUUGAACUGUGGAACUUGUCUACCGAACAGUGUUCUUCUAGGAUCUACAAAACCUGACGCAGGCGAUGAUGGAAGUCCAGUGGUGUUCGGGAGUUUCAAUGUCCGAUUUUAGUUCCAUGAACUCGACGACCAAACACCACUGUCUGCAUUCAUGUGAGCAAGAUGGCCGCCACCUUGUGGUCGUUCAUACGAAUUGCGGCCACCCAGACGAAC